rnacentral:rRNA from 1 species
CCGGCGCACGGGUGAGUAACGCGUAUGCAACCUACCCGCACAGAGGAUAAUCCGGCGAAAGUCGGUCUAAUACCUCAUAAUACAGGGGCACCGCAUGGUGAUAUUUGUUAAAGAUUAAUUGGUUGCGGAUGGGCAUGCGUACCAUUAGGUAGUUGGUGAGGUAACGGCUCAUCAAGCCGACGAUGGUUAGGGGUUCUGAGAGGAAAAUCCCCCACACUGGUACUGAGACACGGACCAG